GCCCCACCCACCUAGAGGAGCCUGUUCUAUAAUCGAUAACCCCCGCUUAACCUCACCACUUCUUGCCAAUACCGCCUAUAUACCACCGUCGCCAGCCCACCCCGUGAGGGAAAUAGUAGGCACAAUGAUAAGUCACCAAAACGUCAGGUCAAGGUGUAGCGUAUGAAGUGGAAAGAAAUGGGCUACAUUCUCUAACCUAGAGCACACGAAAAAUCAUAUGAAAUUAGAUUAGAAGGAGGAUUUAGUAGUAAAAAGAAACAAUAGUGUUCUUUUUAAGUUGGCCCUGGGGCGCGCACACACCGCCCGUCACCCUCUUCAACUAAUAAAACACGAUUUAUAAAACACAAAACAAAUACAAGAAGAGGUAAGUCGUAACAUGGUAAGUAUACCGGAAGGUGUGCUUGGAAUUA
rnacentral:rRNA from 1 species